GACGAACGCUGGCGGCGUGCCUAAUACAUGCAAGUUGAGCGCUGAAGGUUGGUACUUGUACCAACUGGAUGAGCAGCGAACGGGUGAGUAACGCGUGGGGAAUCUGCCUUUGAGCGGGGGACAACAUUUGGAAACGAAUGCUAAUACCGCAUAAAAACUUUAAACACAAGUUUUAAGUUUGAAAGAUGCAAUUGCAUCACUCAAAGAUGAUCCCGCGUUGUAUUAGCUAGUUGGUGAGGUAAAGGCUCACCAAGGCGAUGAUACAUAGCCGACCUGAGAGGGUGAUCGGCCACAUUGGGACUGAGACACGGCCCAAACUCCUACGGGAGGCAGCAGUAGGGAAUCUUCGGCAAUGGACGAAAGUCUGACCGAGCAACGCCGCGUGAGGGAAGAAGGUUUUCGGACCGUAAAACUCUGUUGGUAGAGAAGAACGUUGGUGAGAGUGGAAAGCUCAUCAAGUGACGGUAACUACCCAGAAAGGGACGGCUAACUACGUG
rnacentral:rRNA from 1 species